GAAGAGACUACUUGAAUAAAAAGGAGGUGGAAGAAGAUGACAAUAUGAAAAGGAUAGGAGGAAAUAUGUAAUUAGCUUCUUAAGCCAUUCAACCAUUACAUAUAGUUAGUGUAUGGAAUUUUUUUUUAAUGCCUUUUUUUCCUCCUUACAAUAAGGACCAACUUUAUUGAAAUUUUGUAGUUAUUAAAAAAUAUUAUUUUUGAAAGUGAAAGUAU
rnacentral:lncRNA from 1 species